rnacentral:rRNA from 1 species
UGGAUUCGCUAGUAAUCGCGCAUCAGCCAUGGCGCGGUGAAUACGUUCCCGGGCCUUGUACACACCGCCCGUCAAGCCAUGGGAGCCGGGGGCGCCUGAAGCCACUUAGCUAACCCUUUUGGGAAGCGAGUGUCGAAGGUGAAAUCAAUAACUGGGGUGAAGUCGUAACAAGGUAUC